rnacentral:rRNA from 1 species
AUUGAACGCUGGCGGCAGGCCUAACACAUGCAAGUCGAGCGGCAGCGGGAAGUAGCUUGCUACUUUGCCGGCGAGCGGCGGACGGGUGAGUAAUGUCUGGGAAACUGCCUGAUGGAGGGGGAUAACUACUGGAAACGGUAGCUAAUACCGCAUAACGUCGCAAGACCAAAGAGGGGGACCUUCGGGCCUCUUGCCAUCAGAUGUGCCCAGAUGGGAUUAGCUAGGAGGUGGGGUAAUGGCUCACCUAGGCGACGAUCCCUAGCUGGUCUGAGAGGAUGACCAGCCACACUGGAACUGAGACACGGUCCAGACUCCUACGGGAGGCAGCAGUGGGGAAUAUUGCACAAUGGGCGCAAGCCUGAUGCAGCCAUGCCGCGUGUAUGAAGAAGGCCUUCGGGUUGUAAAGUACUUUCAGCGGGGAGGAAGGUGUUGAGGUUAAUAACCUCAGCAAUUGACGUUACCCGCAGAAGAAGCACCGGCUAACUCCGUGCCAGCCGCCGCUGUAA